rnacentral:rRNA from 1 species
AAAAAUUGUAUAAUCUAUAGACCUGAGUAGUAUUAGUUAGGGGCUUGAAACUCAAAAAAUUUGGCGGUAUUUUAGUCUAUUUAGAGGAACCUGUAAUGUAAUCGAUAAUCCACGAUGGACCUUACUUAAUUUUGUAUUUCAGUUUGUAUACCGCUGUUAUUUGAAAAUUUUAUAAGAAUAUUAAUUUUCAUAAUUUUAAAUUAAAAAGUAAAUCAGGUCAAGGUGCAGCUUAUGAUUAAGUAUUUAUGGGUUACAAUGAAUUUAUUUAUACGGAUCAAGAUUUGAAAAUUGUUUUGUGAAGGCGGAUUUAAUAGUAAAUUUUUAAAGAUAAAAGUAUUGAUU